UACGUAGGGACCGAGCGUUGUCCGGAUUCAUUGGGCGUAAAGAGCUCGUAGGCGGCCACUCAAGUCGAAUGUGAAACCUCGAGGCUCAACCUCGAGCCUGCAUUCGAUACUGGGCGGCUAGAGUCUGGUAGAGGGAUCUGGAAUUCCUGGUGUAGCGGUGGAAUGCGCAGAUAUCAGGAGGAACACCGGUGGCGAAGGCGGGUCUCUGGGCAGUAACUGACGCUGAGGAGCGAAAGCGUGGGUAGCGAACAGG
rnacentral:rRNA from 1 species